rfam:Tauraco erythrolophus contig35698, whole genome shotgun sequence.
CCAACGGCUCUUUUAAGAGCCACCACACUUUCAUAGAAGAGCUGUU